rnacentral:lncRNA from 1 species
AAUUCAUCCAAGGACAACAGCAAAACAACGGAGAGAAGCUGCAAGAAGAGAAGGCAGCACUGCGAACCCUGAAGAUACCCAC